rnacentral:tRNA from 3 species
UCCCCGAUAGCUCAGUUGGUAGAGCAGUUGACUGUUAAUCAAUUUGUCGCAGGUUCGAGCCCUGCUCGGGGAGCCA